UUUUCUAUUAUUUCACACACACACACACACAGUGAAUUUACGGGAGGAGGCAGAGACCGAGAGAAGAAGAGAAAAAGAGGAAAGAAGAAGGGAAAAAAGAAAAGAAGAAGGGAGAAGAAAAGGAAAAAGAAAAGGAAAGGAGGGAUAUUUGCACGAAUUGGAGCUCAAGUGUGGGGAUUAUUCAUUUCAAAUUUUCAGCAAGGAGGUAGCGAGGCGAUUGGAAACGUCUAUCAGCCUAUCUAGCUUGUAGCUCAUACCUUGAGAAGGUCGAUUUUGAGAUAUUGGGAAAAAGCCUGCUGAAACGAAAGAGACAGUUUCAUAAGUAUGUAAUGAAUAUUUGGGAAACUUAUGUUUAUUAAGUAAUUGUCUAAUUUUGGGUGUCAAGCAUAUUUGUAGAAGGGUUUGCAAGUGAUAUAAUACUUGCAUGUCAACAGGAUGAUGUUAUAAAAACACUCAGUCGAAUUUUGUUAUAUUUUGUAGUAGUUGUGGUAGCAUUAGAGGAAGUGGUGGUUUGCAAAACUUUUGGUUUAAAUGUCUAUUUGAGAUUUUGAUGAUUUUUCA